UUUAGGGUCUGGAACUGAUUUACUCAGAAAUAUUCAGGGAGUUCUUUCUUCAUUUUAGUGAUUUUCUCUUAAGGGUCUUCUUCAAUUUUCAGAAAUGGAGAUGGAAUAAUAGUUCCUGCUGCAGAUGAAGAGGUAUAAGCUGCUCCAGAGGCUACUAAGAAAGUAAUUUGAAAUUGUAAUGAAUUCCUAUUCUCUGUUAAAUCAGCGGGUAUUUGAAAUUGCAAUUCUCUUUGUGAAGGAA